GUUGGGUGGAUAGUAGGGUUGAUAGGAUAAAUGAGAAUAAGUAUCUGUUCUUAAAAGCAGGGGAUGACACGGAUUUCUGGUGACACGGAUUCUCUUCAUCCACAGAGACGGGUUGAGAAAAGAUGGACGUUGUUCUUCUGAUUGCCGUCCUUGCUCUGGUUGCUGGAGGGAACCCAGCCCUUGGUCUUGCUCCAUGUCAGCGGAGGGCUCGCGACAACAAUGCGUACAAGAAGUUUGUUUCUAAACAUGUUCUGCCGGAGAAUUUUGCAACUAACUCAAUGACUGCAUGGGAAAAUUACCUGAGAGAGAGACGUCUCUGUGACAGACCGAGGCAGUCCUUUGUUAAGAAUGAAGACCGGGGAAGUUAUGUACAGAUCUGCAACGGCCAUGGGAAGCGUCAGAGUGGCAACCUGUGCACCAGCACUCGUCCAAUUUUCCUGUAUGAUCUCAGAGUGCAAAGGAGUGGUUGCAGAGUCACUAAAAUAAGGAAGCGAAAUAGAUAUGUGACUGUUGCUUGUGACAAAGUUGACAACCGCUGCCGCCCUGUUCACUUUGACGGCAGCCAAGGCAGAAGGCCAAGAACAGGUGAAACCUGCAGAGCACACCCUUCUCUCUAGCUUCCAGAGUUCUGCUAAGCAAUGCUUCUCUGUUAUAUCUCCAUACCAAGCUUAGGGUCAACAUUUUACCAGCUUUGCUUAAACAUUUGUCUUUAUUUUGUAAACUACUCUAGAGAUACCACAUCAUCAGUGAAAAGAAAAACCUUGGGUUUACGAUUUUUAAAAUACCACUCUUAGGAAUAUUUGUUGAUGCAUCACAAAUAAUUUCUUCUGUAAAUCAUGUGUGUUUUAAUUUGAGGUUUAGUACUUGAGAAGUCGGUUUUCUGUCAUUCGUGAUUGAAGUUCCUAUAUGUGUAGUGCAUCAGGUCACCAUGGCAACCAGCUAUUCACAUUGACAGCAGAAAUAUCCUUUAAAAGAUCAGCCUUUUCUAAAACACAGAGAAAUGCUAAGCAUGGGCUACGUUCUAAUUGUUAACUGGCCCAUCCCUGACACACAUAUAUGUAUGUGAUGUGCACCAUAGAAUCAUUAAAAUUCAAUUAAAAGAUCUUUUACAAUGUACAGUAAAGGCUUUUCUGCAGCCAUAGAAAUGUAUAAGUGAUGUUACAUGAUUACGUUAAAUACUUGAGAUGUUUGCAAAGCUCUGCUACAACUGUUUUGUUCUUUGCUUUUAUCUAAUAAAAAUCUGAUGAAGU